GAUCGACUGUUGGCGGGUAUUGUUCCUCUUUUAUCGGCUGCACUGAAUAAAAACAUCCCUGCUAAAUGUGUCAUUUUCAUGUUUGGUCUGGGAGAGUGGUAGUGGUGAGAUGUGAGAUAGACAGUGGUGGGAUGUGUGUGGGAGUGAGAGCGUGGUGGUGUGUGUGUGUGAGAGCGACAGUAUGGUGGUGUGUGUGUUGUGUGUGUGUGUGAGAGCGACAGUAUGGUGGUGUGAGUGGUGUGUGUGUGAGAGUGUGUGUGUGUGUGUGUGUGUGUGUGAGAGCGACAGUAUGGUGGUGUGUGUGGUGUGUGUGUGUGUGUGUGUGGUGUACUUCCAGCAGGACCCACACAGGAGCAGAGGACCAGUAUAAGGUGUAAAUAUCACUUCUAUAUUUCAUAUUCCUUCAUCCAACUACAUCCACUGGAACACAACAUGUGAGACAGUAAGGCAUCAGACAGGUGUGGUGUGUGUGUGUGUGUGUGUCCUCAGACAGGUGAUCACUUUACAUCCUCAGACAGACAGACAGGUGACAUCAUCAUCCUCAGACAGACAGGUGAUCACUUUACAUCCUCAGACAGACAGGUGAUCACUUUACAUCCUCAGACAGACAGACAGGUGAUCACUUUACAUCCUCACACAGACAGGUGAACACUUUACAUCCUCAGACAGGUGAUCACUUUACAUCCUCAGACAGAC
ensembl:lncRNA